rnacentral:rRNA from 1 species
GAUGAACGCUGGCGGCGUGCCUAAUACAUGCAAGUAGAACGCUGAGGCUUGGUGCUUGCACCGAGCGGGUGAGUUGCGAACGGGUGAGUAACGCGUGGGUAACCUACCUCUUAGCGGGGGAUAACUACUGGAAACGAUAGCUAAUACCGCAUAAUAUUCGGCAUCGCAUGAUGUUAAAUUGAAAGAUGCUAUUGCUGCACUAAAUAGUUGACCUGCGUUUUCUUAACCUGUUUGGUAGGUAACGGCCUAACAAGGCCAAGGUACCUAGCCGACCUGAGAGGGGGAACGGCCACACUGGGAACGGGACACGGCCCAGACUCCCACGGGAGGGAGCAGUAGGGAAACCUCGGGAAUGGGGGCAACCCUGAACGGGCAACGCCGCGUGAGGGAAGAAGGGUUUCGGGUCGGAAAGACCUGGUGUAAGAGGAGAACGAGAUUGGGAGGGGAAAGUUCACACCGUGACGGUAACUAAUCAGAAAGCGACGGCUAACUACGUG